rnacentral:rRNA from 1 species
UACGAAGGGGGCUAGCGUUGCUCGGAAUCACUGGGCGUAAAGCGCACGUAGGCGGUUUGUUGCGUCGGCUGUGAAAACCCGGGGCUCAACUCCGGGCCUGCAGCCGAUACGGGCAGACUAGAGUUCGGCAGGGGAGACUGGAAUUCCUGGUGUAGCGGUGAAAUGCGCAGAUAUCAGGAGGAACACCGGUGGCGAAGGCGGGUCUCUGGGCCGAUACUGACGCUGAGGAGCGAAAGCGUGGGGAGCGAACAGG